CAGGGAAUCUUGUCCAAUGGGCGAAAGCCUGAGACAGCGACGCCGCGUGAGGGAUGAAUGCCUUCGGGUUGUAAACCUCUUUCAGGAGGGACGAAAAAUGACGGUACCUCCAGAAGAAGCCCCGGCUAACUACGUGCCCAGCAGCCGCGGUAAUACGUAGGGGGCGAGCGUUGUCCGGAUUUAUUGGGCGUAAAGGGCUCGUAGGCGGCUCAGCAAGUCGAUCGUGAAAACCCGGGGCUCAACCCCGGGACGCCGGUCGAUACUGCUGUGGCUAGGGUCCGGUAGAGGAGAAUGGAAUUCCCGGUGUAGCGGUGAAAUGCGCAGAUAUCGGGAGGAACACCAGUAGCGAAGGCGGUUCUCUGGGCCGGUACCGACGCUGAGGAGCGAAAGCGUGGGGAGCAAACA
rnacentral:rRNA from 1 species